CGUAGUCAACCUGCCUUACCGUCCGGGAUAACUAGCCGAAAGGUUAGCUAAUACCUGAUACGAUCGUCGAGCGGCAUCGCUUGACGAUGAAAGCAGCAAUGCGCGGUUAGAGGGGGCUGCGGCCCAUUAGCUAGUUGGUGAGGUAAUGGCCCACCAAGGCAACGAUGGGUAGCUGGUCUGAGAGGACGACCAGCCACACUGGGACUGAGACACGGCCCAG
rnacentral:rRNA from 1 species